UGUGUCGCGGCGGUGGCGAGCGUACAGUGGUUAAUUUAAUUUUGGACCUAAAAUUUGCCUCCAUCCAUCAUUGGGCCGUUGGCUGUACCAUACUUAGGCUAGAAAUCUCCAGUAGGCCCAAUCUGCAAAAUCUCCCAGUGCCUAUUGACGGCGACGUGUUUCGGAGAGCAGCGGCAUUUUGCGGCGGCGGAGGAUUAUUAAUGGCUGACGAAGCGGCGGAGCAGACGCGUCUUAGUUCGGAGUCUGCCGAAGACGGCGUGCCUCCUAGUUCGGAGUUCGUCGAAGACGGCGUCAGCAACUGGCCGACGGUUCAGUAUGACGUCGCUCCAUACAAAACCUACCAUUUCUUCCAGCAGUUCAGAACUAACGAAUCGAACCCUAACAAUUUUCUCAAAGGCGUCAAAUGGUCGCCGGACGGUUCGUGCUUCCUGACCUGUAAUGAGGACAAUACACUCCGAGUUUUCAGUUUGCCUUAUAAUGACAUUGGAGGUCCUGAUGCUCCUACGUGCACGCCUGAUUCUGAUUCAUACGAGCCAAAUGUUGUUGUGAGUGAAGGAGAAUCUGCAUAUGACUAUUGCUGGUACCCAUACAUGUCUGCUUCAAAUCCAGAUCUAUGUGUAUUCGCAACAUCUACUCGGGACCAUCCUAUUCAUCUCUGGGAUGCAAAUUCUGGACAGCUACGCUGCACAUAUCGUGCCUAUGAUGCCAUGGAUGAAAUUACUGCAGCCUUUUCAAUUGGCUUUAACCCUGGUGGAAACAAGAUAUUUGCUGGAUACAAUAAAGCUAUCAGAAUUUUUGAGGUUCAUCGCCCAGGGAGAGAUUUUGAACAACACUCGACUGUUUUAGGAAACAAAGAAGGCCAAUCAGGUAUUAUAUCUUCUAUUGCUUUUUCCCCCACUUCUUCUGGUAUGCUGGCUGCGGGCUCCUACAACCAGACUACUGCUAUAUACAGAGAAGACAAUAUGGAACUGCUGUAUGUGUUGCAUGGCCAAGAAGGUGGGGUUACACAAGUUCAGUUUUCUAAGGAUGGAAACUAUUUGUACUCUGGGGGACGGAAGGAUCCUUAUAUUCUAUGCUGGGAUAUUCGCAAAACUGUUGAUAUUGUCUACAAACUAUAUCGAUCAUCUGAAAGCACCAAUCAGAGAAUACAAUUUGAUAUUGAGCCUCUUGGUCGAUAUCUUGGAACUGGUGGUCAGGAUGGUCUGGUGCAUAUCUAUGAUCUUCAGACCGGGGAGUGGGUAUCAAGCUUUCAAGCGGCACUAGACACUGUAAACGGAUUUGGUUUCCACCCAUUUCUACCGAUGGCAGCCACUUCAUCAGGACACCGCCGAUAUAUAGAUCUUGAUGACUCUGCAGAGGAUAACAGUUUGAGUGGUGAUGAAAAUUGUGUGUCGAUAUGGAGCUUUUAUUCUUCUGGAGGCGGCGAUGCAGUUGAAGGUGUUGGUGAUGUUGCAAAUUGAUCUUUUAUUGCUUGACCAAUGGAAGCUUGUAGUUGCUUCAUAUAACUUUACAGUAACAUAUAAGUUUCCAGAAGUUACCAAUUCAUCUCCGUUAGAUAUGAGCAGAAAUCCAUUAUUUUGAAUAAGGAAGAUUCCAGAUCAGAUUAUAGCUAUUUUCAAGAUGAGGAGUGCUCUACCAAAUUCUUUGACAAAAACUUGUUCGCCUUAGUAAAUGAAAAAACAAAAACACCAAAAUUUGGUAUAAACCUGCGCUAGAAUUCCUUCUCAGCGCUGCUUAAUUUAAUGUAAUUUCCUUCAAUUGUUAUCGUGGUCUUAGUUUAAAUUUU